UACGAAGGUGGCAAGCGUUACUCGGAAUUACUAGGCGUAAAGGGCAGGUAGGUGGUUUGGUUAGUCUAUUGUGAAAGCUCCCGGCUUAACUGGGAGAGGUCAAUGGAUACUGCCAAACUUGAGUAUAGGAGAGGUUACUGGAAUUCCCGGUGUAGCGGUGAAAUGCGCAGAGAUCGGGAGGAACACCAAUGGCGAAAGCAGGUAACUGGACUAUUACUGACACUCAGCUGCGAAAGCUAGGGGAGCAAACAGG
rnacentral:rRNA from 1 species